rnacentral:rRNA from 1 species
UACGUAGGGUGCAAGCGUUGUCCGGAAUUAUUGGGCGUAAAGAGCUCGUAGGCGGUUUGUCGCGUCUGCUGUGAAAACUCGGGGCUUAACUCCGGGCCUGCAGUGGGUACGGGCAGACUAGAGUGCGGUAGGGGAGACUGGAAUUCCUGGUGUAGCGGUGAAAUGCGCGAUAUCAGGAGGAACACCGGUGGCGAAGGCGGGUCUCUGGGCCGUAACUGACGCUGAGGAGCGAAAGCGUGGGGAGCGAACAGG